AAGGUCUUGGGCUGCCUAAGGGCAGGCUGGAGCACUAUCCUAAGGACCAUGCUCCAUCUCUACAGUGUGGGUAUGCCAAGGCAGCAGGGCCUCUCUGUGGAGAUGAAGCAUGAAGCUCACUUCCAACUCUUGUGCUGGAAAUCCAGUGCCAAACCGGCAGUGUGGAAGCAUGCUGCCUGCACCCCACAUUUCCAGGGCCAAGAGGGAGCCCAGCAUCCCAGGGUGCUACUUGGGUGGCCGGGAUCAAGCAGAUGAUGGAUCUGAUGCUUCCUCGACACGGAGCCAGCGUACCAGGACCGCUCAGAUCCAGGCCAGCUCCGUCCCCACCAGCCACGAAACACAGCAGCAGUCCCAAAUGGAUGCCCAGCGCCUGGGGGCUGAAAAACCAGCACAGAUCCCAGUUUUACCCUCACACAAACCAUGGCUCCUGUCCCUCUUGCACUGCAAACCCCCAUGAGCUAGUGGAAUGCCAACAGGAGCACGGCUCAGUGUCAGUACAGUGCCAUCGGCUCAUCCCAACCGCAGGCAGCACUCGGUGCAGCCCAGGCAGGGCUUGUGGUGCAGAGAUGUCUCGGAGCAGAAACCCAGAGGGAUGGAAAACCCACAGUUGUGUACUGCAGGCAAACUGAGCUGCUCUCCACAUAGAGAGCCCUUUCAUAUUUCCCACUCGCCUUCGAGUUGACAUCUCUCCACAGGCCAAAUCUUCCCAUGGAGGAGAUGAAGUUCUGGCCAGAGAUUAUAAACUGAUUGUGGGCGUAAAUGAGAAAAUUGCAUAUGUAGCGCUGCUGCAAGCCAAGCGCAGCACAUGUGCCUCCUGCAUCUGCUCGCUGUGAGCAGCUCGCCCCACGCACGCCUGCAUCCGUGCACGUGCAGGGGGACUGAGCUGAGCACAAACAGUACAAGGAGGGGAAAGAGGAAGGUUUCCAAAGGCCCUACUCACAGGGAGGUUUCCAAGGACCAAGUGGAGGUGGCCCAUUAUCCGCUCUGUCCCCGUGGUGCCGCCCCUCCCUCUCCACCUCCAGCAUCCCAGAUCCUCAGCAGCAUCCCCCUCUCACUUCAUAGCAGCAAUCUGGCACCACGCAUCUUUAUUUCCUAAACUUGGGCCAAAGCUCAAUGAGCCCAGCCCCGCUGCUGUUCACACAGCGAACACUGACACCUUUCUUCAGCCUGCCUUGAUUUCUUCCAUAGGAAACAGCCUGCUCUUGCUCCUGCACACUGCCUCGCGGAGAAUUGCACAUCCCCCACUGCUAAUUACACAAACCCAAAGUAAAUCUGUAUGAAUUGCUCGCCCUGGUGCA